rnacentral:tRNA from 1 species
GACAACGUGGCCGAGUGGUUAAGGCGAUUCCCUGCUAAGGAACUAUCCUAUGGAUGCGUAGGUUCAAAUCCUGCCGUUGUCG